rnacentral:rRNA from 1 species
GACGAACGCUGGCGGCGUGCUUAACACAUGCAAGUCGAGCGGAAAGGCCCUUUCGGGGGUACUCGAGCGGCGAACGGGUGAGUAACACGUGAGUAAUCUGCCCCUGGCUUUGGGAUAGCCACCGGAAACGGUGAUUAAUACCGGAUACGACCACUUCUCGCAUGGGAUGGUGGUGGAAAGUUUUUCGGCCAGGGAUGUGCUCGCGGCCUAUCAGCUUGAUGGUGAGGUAAUGGCUCACCAUGGCUUCGACGGGUAGCCGGCCUGAGAGGGUGACCGGUCACACUGGGACUGAGACACGGCCCAGACUCCUACGGGAGGCAGCAGUGGGGAAUAUUGGACAAUGGGCGGAAGCCUGAUCCAGCAACGCCGCGUGAGGGAUGACGGCCUUCGGGUUGUAAACCUCUUUCAGCAGGGACGAAGCGCAAGUGACGGUACCUGCAGAAGAAGCAUCGGCCAACUACGUGCCAGCCGCCGCAGUAAAAC